ANCCCGGNACNUNCAAAAAGUACGUGAAACCGCUCAAAGUAAACGGGGAAGAGUUGAACUGCAAGCCUGUAAGAUUCAGCUGGUUCGGUUGUUUGGCUGGCAUUGUGGUCCACGCAAAUGGUGGGUUACUGCUCCUUGUGGGUGGUGACGAGUGUGUACUAGCAUAGUGCAACUCGCUGCUUUGUUGGUGCUGCCGGGUCAGUGCACUUCUUUCAGGUCUUCAUCACGACCGGCGCUGCUGUCUGUCUGCUGUGGCUAAACCAGUGGGGCUCGGUCCUUGUGGCCUUGUUCUGCUGGGAUGGCAGGUAGCUUGUUGGCAUUCGUGCUUUCAGGUGUAAUAGCUAGCUUCAGUGUGAGCUGUGCAGUGUGUCGGAGAUUGCGGUUGUAAUGGGUGGCGUGAAUGCUGGCUUUUGUUGGCUGUGGGUUGNUUGCNUAACGGNAACUUUCCNG
rnacentral:rRNA from 1 species